AGUGAACGCUGGCGGUAGGCCUAACACAUGCAAGUCGAACGGCAGCACAGUAAGAGCUUGCUCUUACGGGUGGCGAGUGGCGGACGGGUGAGGAAUACAUCGGAAUCUACUUUUUCGUGGGGGAUAACGUAGGGAAACUUACGCUAAUACCGCAUACGACCUACGGGUGAAAGCAGGGGAUCUUCGGACCUUGCGCGAUUGAAUGAGCCGAUGUCGGAUUAGCUAGUUGGCGGGGUAAAGGCCCACCAAGGCGACGAUCCGUAGCUGGUCUGAGAGGAUGAUAAGCCACACUGGAACGGAGACACGGUCAAGACUCCUACGGGAGGCAGCAGUGGGGAAUAUUGGACAAUGGGCGCAAGCCUGAUCCAGCCAUACCGCGUGGGUGAAGAAGGCCUUCGGGUUGUAAAGCCCUUUUGUUGGGAAAGAAAAGCAGCAGGUUAAUACCCCGCUGUUCUGACGGUACCCAAAGAAUAAGCACCGGCUAACUUCGUG
rnacentral:rRNA from 1 species